GAUGAACGCUGGCGGCGUGCCUAAUACAUGCAAGUCGAGCGAACAGAUAAGGAGCUUGCUCCUUUGAAGUUAGCGGCGGACGGGUGAGUAACACGUGGGUAACCUACCUAUAAGACUGGGAUAACUUCGGGAAACCGGAGCUAAUACCGGAUAACAUUUAGAACCGCAUGGUUCUAAAGUGAAAGAUGGUUUUGCUAUCACUUAUAGAUGGACCCGCGCCGUAUUAGCUAGUUGGUAAGGUAACGGCUUACCAAGGCGACGAUACGUAGCCGACCUGAGAGGGUGAUCGGCCACACUGGAACUGAGACACGGUCCAGACUCCUACGGGAGGCAGCAGUAGGGAAUCUUCCGCAAUGGGCGAAAGCCUGACGGAGCAACGCCGCGUGAGUGAUGAAGGGUUUCGGCUCGUAAAACUCUGUUAUUAGGGAAGAACAAAUGUGUAAGUAACUGUGCACUUCUUGACGGUACCUAAUCAGAAAGCCACGGCUAACUACGUG
rnacentral:rRNA from 1 species